CGUAGGUGGUAUGGCAAGUCAGAAGUGAGAACCCAGGGCUUAACUCUGGGACUGCUUUUGAAACUGUCAGACUGGAGUGCAGGAGAGGUAAGCGGAAUUCCUAGUGUAGCGGUGAAAUGCGUAGAUAUUAGGAGGAACAUCAGUGGCGAAGGCGGCUUACUGGACUGAAACUGACACUGAGGCACGAAAGCGUGGGAGCAAACA
rnacentral:rRNA from 1 species